rnacentral:rRNA from 1 species
GACGAACGCUGGCGGCGUGCCUAAUACAUGCAAGUAGAACGCACAGUUUAUACCGUAGCUUGCUACACCAUAGACUGUGAGUUGCGAACGGGUGAGUAACGCGUAGGUAACCUGCCUGGUAGCGGGGGAUAACUAUUGGAAACGAUAGCUAAUACCGCAUAAUAUUAAUUAUUGCAUGAUAAUUAAUUGAAAGGUGCAAUUGCACCACUACCAGAUGGACCUGCGUUGUAUUAGCUAGUAGGUGAGGUAACGGCUCACCUAGGCGACGAUACAUAGCCGACCUGAGAGGGUGGUCGGCCACACUGGGACUGGGACACGGCCCAGACGCCUACGGGAGGCAGCAGUAGGGAAUCUUCGGCAAUGGACGAAAGUCUGACCGAGCAACGCCGCGGGAGUGAAGAAGGUUUUCGGACCGUAAAGCUCUGUUGUAAGGGAAGAACGGGUGUGAGAGUGGAAAGUUCACACUGUGACGGUAUCUUACCAGAAAGGGACGGCUAACUACGUG